UUGAUUGAUUUUUUGGCCGUAGAUUGACAUUACUUAUGUAAGUAAAUAAGUAAUGUCAAUCUACGGCCAAAAAAUCAAUAUGA